UGACGAUCCAGAGGGUAGUUUUCUAGUUACUUUGCGUGAUUAUGUAGAUGAAAAAAAAAAUUGUUUUGAAGGUGUAAAUUAUGGUCGUCGUGGAAACAGUGUGAUUUGAGCUUGGCGCUCACAUGCGUGGGUGGCCCAACAUGUGAGUCAGCAAAAUAGACCACUCAGAUUGCAUCUGCUGUCACGAUAUGAGGGAUCGUGCCCUCUAUUUAUUUUUUUAUUCCCUGAGGAGAGCGUCCAUAUGGUCAAGCCUUCGCUCUAAUGGUGCAAUCCUCAAACUGGCUUCUCAGGUUUCCUUUUUAAUACUGUAAUUUUCAUAUUGUGUUAAGCAUUUGAUUUGGUUUGGAUUAAUGAUAAUUCAUAUGACAUUACCCAAGUCUCACUCAUCAAAACUUUUAAGUGGCAUGUUUCAUUGAUUCAUAAUUAAGGCUGGUGCAAGAAGAGUUAUCGCUUAGGGACGUUAAAAGCACAACAUGUUGGAAGCUUUUAUUUUGGGAGUUUGACGCUCAGCACCAGAUAAAUCCACCUGUCACCAUUUCAAAAGCUCAGCAAUGAACGUAUUGUGUCCAUUUUGUUUAUGCCCAGCUCUGGCUACUGAACAGAAAAAUUAGACUGGUAGGAAUCUUUACAUCGGACGCUCGACAAGAAGCGCAUUACGUUUUUUCCCAAAACUGUAAUUACAAGCGAGACUUUUUUUUUAAAGCGACACACAAAAGCUGUAAUUACACAAAUUGGGAUCGAGCUAAAAGCAUGAAAAACAGACAGGCGUCCAGUAAUUACAAAAUCCAAUUCAUGAGGGUUAAAAUCCUAGAUAAUUGUCAAAAACAAGUGUAGUCAACACAUGAUUCGAUUAACAAUUUAAACUUGGCUCUGUUGGUUGAUUUAUUACUUGCUAUUAUUAACCACUUGCAUACAUCAAGAGAAAAAUAUCUUUAAAGUUGGCGUGAAGGUGACAGACAUGGUAAAUUCAAAUAAAUCUGGUUUUCCACUGCAAGGCCUACGGAGGGAAGUCAACUGUCCUCGUUCCUCUAGGCAGUAAAAAGGCUGGGCCACUGAUGAGCUAAGGGAGUCAAACAGGUUGCAGUCGCCUUCCACCUGCUCCCUGGCUCCGGUGCCCGUGGGAGCAGGUCGGGAUCACACCUUGCAGGCAGCGCCGUGGGCCCAGGAGACGCCAGGCUACGGAGAGCCUUGUCCAGACUUGCCAGUUUACGUUCAAACCGACUCCCACCGUAAAGGUCAGGCCUGUUUGCUUGUGUUUAGCCUGGAGCCGUGC
ensembl:lncRNA